GCCAAGGCUGUGCUAGAUGACUAGACUUCUACUUGCCACACAUACGACAUCAGAGUGCCGAACAUACUCCUGAUUGGCUACUAUCAGAAGGGUCUUCCCGAUAAAUCUGAUGCAUUGCUUUGGGAUAUUAUAAAUAGGGAAGAAAUACCGACUUCCCUUCAGAAGGGCCGUCGAAUAUCCACGCUUUCUUCUCCUCCUCUGAUGUCCAGUCCUUUCGAUAAGUGCUUAUGGAGCACUCUAAUCGCCGCAUGACACGAUUCUUGAGAACCAGAUACUAAAAAAGAGUUGUGAAUCAGUUGCUCAUGCUAAGAGAUUGAAGGAGGAUUCAAUGCUUUUGCUGAGAUUGUUAUCAU